ensembl:misc_RNA Metazoa_SRP Metazoan signal recognition particle RNA
GCUGGGCAUGGUGGCGUAUGUCUGUAAUCUCAGCUACUUGGGAGGCUGAGGCAGAAGAAUCGCUUGAGCCAGGGAAUCGGAGGUUGCAGUGAGCCAAGAUUGUGCCACUGCACUCCAGCCUGGCAAAAGAGCGAGACUCUGUCUCAA